UACGAAGGGGGCUAGCGUUGUUCGGAUUUACUGGGCGUAAAGCGCGCGUAGGCGGCUUUGUAAGUUAGAGGUGAAAGCCCGGGGCUCAACCCCGGAACUGCCUUUAAGACUGCAUCGCUUGAAUCCAGGAGAGGUGAGUGGAAUUCCGAGUGUAGAGGUGAAAUUCGUAGAUAUUCGGAAGAACACCAGUGGCGAAGGCGGCUCACUGGCCUGGUAUUGACGCUGAGGUGCGAAAGCGUGGGGAGCAAACAGG
rnacentral:rRNA from 1 species